rnacentral:rRNA from 1 species
GAUGAACGCUGGCGGCGUGCCUAAUACAUGCAAGUCGAACGAAACUUCUUUAUGCCUGCGUGCUUGAAGUCACCGACGGAGGGUUGAGUGACAAAUGGGUGAGUAACACGUGAGAAACGUGCAAAAACGAGGGGGCUAAGCCAAGGCCACAGAAGAUAAUAAACCAUAAGCAUCAUUACUGAAAGACAACUUUGUAAAAGGUGGCUAAACUAUCGCCUUUGGAUUGGCUCGCGGCGCAUUAGCUAGUUGGUAGGGUAAAGGCUUACCAAGGCAAUGAUGCGUAGCCGAAGUGAGAGGGUGAUCGGCCACAUUGGGACUGAGACACGGCCCAGACUCCUACGGGAGGCAGCAGUAGGGAAUCUUCCGCAAUGGGCGAAAGCCUGAUGGAGCAACGCCGCGUGAGUGAAGAAGGUCUUCGGAUCGUAAAACCCUGUUGUUAGGGAAGAAAGUGCGUGAAAGUAACUGUUCACGUUUUGACGGUAUCUAAUCAGAAAGCCACGGCUAACUACGUG